CGGCGUCAGCAGCGGAUUGUUGUAGCUCUUGGACCGCACCACGGGGUUCUUGGCAAGGAUGUCCCCCGACUUGGAACGCCUGAAGAACCGCUUCUCUGUAAACAAAGACCCAGAGUCAUACCUGCAAAGCCUCCCAUUAAGAUUGCAUUGCUAUGUAGGAUAUUCCACCUUCAUCCUGGCUGUAUCUUGCCAUCACAGAAGUCACCAAAGACUUCAGAGCUCCAAGAAUCAGAAAUUAAGCUGGAGAGAACUCAAGCUGCCACCAGGCCAGGCCACGUUUCCCCCUUGCUCCUCAUGGAUGCUGAUGUUUGUGACAGGUAAAAAGUGUCUCAGCAGGGAAGACGCAAUAAUCUCCAGAGGCAAUGCAUGUGAAAUUAAGAGAUUUUUCCUUCCAUGUAAUAUGAAUUCCCACUGCUGUGUAAGACCCACUCUGUAUUUCUUAUCUCCAUUGGGAUGGAAAACAGCUUAUUACGUUCUACUCUGCAGAAAGCUUUUACGUGCUAGAAGGCUUAUGUGUUAGCCUUCUCAAAGACAAAUUCCUACACUCUCUUCCCUAAUUUUAACAGUCUUGUAUGAUCUUUGUCUACUAAUGAACACUAAUGAAAAUUAA